rfam:Oryza sativa (indica cultivar-group) chromosome 3, whole genome shotgun sequence.
CCUCUGUUCCAAAAUAAGUUCUGCGCCUAACUUUAACCAUUCAUCUUAUUUAAUUUUUUUUUAAAAAAAAAUUAAAAACAUAAGUCACGAGUAAAGUACUAUUUAUGUUUUAUCAUCUAAUAUUAAUAAAAAUGCUAAUUAUAAAAAAUUUUUGAAUAAGACGAAUGAUCAAAGUUGGACGCGGAAAAUCAUGGUUGCACUUAUU